AUAGCGCGUCCUCGUUUCAUUCAUUCAUUGACUCUGGAAAUAAGCGUGAGCUUGCAUCAGGUAAUUUGGUCUUAAUAGUUAUUUUAAUGUUUUAAUUGAGGGCUGUUCCUUUUUUGAGCAAUGAGACAUUUAUAUUGCUUCAUGCUGCUCAUGCUUACAAUUGUUUGUGUCUCUAGGUCACCUUUAUGUGAUCUGAAUGCGGGGCAUAAGGCAGUCGUAUAUAUUUGUUUUAUCGAGGUAAUGGGUUUAUGUAAAGAUAAUAGUAGGUUAAUUUGGGUGGGCAGAAAGUCGUUUUAUCUUGUUGUAUUUCAGAAGCCCUUGUGUGUUGAUGGUGAUUGGCCUGGUGAUGCAGUCUUCAGAGUGUUGAAUGAGUUGAGAACGAAUUGGGUAACAAGUAUUAUUUAGUUUUAUUUAUUUAUAUGUUUGAAGGUGGUUGUUUUCAUGAAAGUUUGUUUUGUAGGUUUCUUUUAAAGAAGAACCGUCUGGUUGAUUUAUUCUUCCCUUUUCUUAAAUCCAGUUAAUUUAAAGUUUUUCAUUAUUUCCGUGGCAGCUGCAGGGUCUCCUCCAAGGGUGUGACUGGCACUGGUGAGGUGGUAGGCAUUCUUUUGUGAUUCCUGGUGAUUUAUUUAUCCUUUUGAGUGCCGUGGAUUUUGUGCUGUAUUUGGAGUGUGUAUUGCAAGUAGUGGCUCUAUUUUUCUACACACAUAUGGUUGUACCCUGUUGGAGCCCUGCGGUUCGUCAUAAAUUUGUUUUGUUUUUGUUUUUCCUUGCUGAAUGAUGUGUACCAGUGUUCUAAACAUUUAAUUGUUUUUAUACAAAAUUUGGUACUUAUUAAUGUGAAUAAAAGCUUGUACAAGCAAUACAUUUUCACUACA